CCAGUGCACCCCAGCCUGGGCAACAGAGCAAGACCCUGUCUCAAAAACAAAACAAAAUUUGUGAUAUUUAGGAACCAAAGAUUACAACAACUCUAGUAGGAAUUCUAGUCACUGACCUGUUUGUUUUCCUGUGACCCAUUUUUAGGUUUAAUGCCCAUCUGUGAUAUGAAGAGGCUGUAAAACUUCUCUCCCCAACUUUAUGAUUUAUUAAUACUUCAUGACAAAUGUACACAGCCCUCAAAAUGUAAAAGCUAGAGAAACUCCAGAGAAACCAACAAACUUAGUAGAGCUGAAGUCUAGAUUUCAAAUAACAUGGUAAUUUUACUUGAAAUCUGUAAUUGCAGCAGGCAAUACAAUUCCAAUAAAUUUUUUAAAAUGCAUGUAAAAUAAGAUUUAAGAGUAAUUUGACACUCAGUAAACAAAAUUGUUUAGCUUAAAAAUACAGGGAUAACAUUUCUAAAAUUUAGGAAUUAUUUUGUACCAUAAUAAUGCUGAAUUUUUCACACUAGUUACUGCUAGAUAUAGUAUUUGUAGCUAUGUUAGAUAAAAUGUUGGCAGAUCCUUGACUGAGGCAAGACCAUUGGUUAUUGAGGAAAUGGUUUGAGAUUAUAUUUGUUGAUCUUAAAUCAUUCAGAAGGUUGUAUCCUUAAUUUGUCAUCAAGCUGCAAAUAAGUGGAACAUUUUUAUCUGUUCUACAGGAAUCCACUGAUGAUAGCAACUGCAGAAGUAGUCAGUCUUUUCUUCUUAUUCCAGGAUUAGGAAGUAAACAUAGAAGUUCAUCACGUAAACUUAUUUAGGAAUUAAAAAGAAAGGAAAUAAUAUGUAUUCAGGAUGUACUAUACCAGGCUAUAAUAAGUCAUCUAAUAAAAGCUCAGCCUACCUUUUAAGGGUGUAGGUGGCCCUCAGUCACAAAAAGCUAACCAGGUGCCAAAGCGAGAUUCCCAUUCAAGCAUGUGACACCAGAGCCCUUACUGUCAACUACAAAACCACAUACACCUUUCCUUUGACUAUGAGGGCAUACCAUAAAAAUGAAUUGGCAUAAUUCAGUCUUAGAGUCAAGGAGGAGCACAAUUCCUAGGUGGUGGGGUUUUGCCAUCUUCAAAAAAUGGGAAAAAGAAAAUGUUGAAGAAAAUGUGGGCUUGAUAUUAGAUGGGAGACCAAACAGGAGGGACCAGCAUUCUAAUCUUAGAGGUACUGCAUGCAGAUUUGAUCAGCCAUGGGGAAACAGGUCAGUUGGAAAACCCCUGAACUUCUCUGCAUCUCAGUACUGCAAUAAAAGGGGUGUUAAUUAUUGUCAGGCAUGGCAACUUUUUGAUGUCUGCAUCUUUAAAAAGAGAGGUCUUCACACUUAAUACUGAAAACAGUUGAAAUUGCACCCAAAAAGCCCUACCAGAUGACCUGACCACCUGCAUUUUAUUUCAGGGUAGCUUUGUAACUGUCAAAAUGUCCUUACUGUACAGAACACUUUCAUAUGUGGACCAGGACUUCGAGCCAAAUGAGCACACCCUAUACCUCUGCUAGUCCUAGAAUUGUCCUCAGAGGCAUUGAAGAGCUGACCUAGUUAUAUUCUGAACCCUAACAUUUUAAGCUACAUCAGAUCUGGAAUCUUUGGGAGUUGAGACCAUCAAGGAGCUUAGAGUAGCUUGGCCUCUGAGGACCUUCCAUGGUAGCCAUGCAUUUCCCCACAUCCAUGCCGCCACCUUGGGAGCCAACUGGAACAUUCAUUCUCUGUUAAGUAGAAGGAAUGUUCACAUUCCUUUCACUCUCACAUUCCACCAUGAGCACUGGUAAUGUGGGUUAAGGUUAUCUUAAAACAGAAUGUCUUAUGUCUCAGGAACCCCUUGGUCCUGGACAAACUAAGACUAUUGGUCACAUGAGCUUUUGUGCUCAGAGUACCAAGGUUAAGAUCUUAGGCAAUGCCUAGGACCAGUUUUUCCCAUAGAAAUAUUUAACUUAAGGACAGUGUUUUCCUUGAUGCACAAUGAUGCCUUUAGAAGGGAUCUUCUAUCUGAAAAACCCUGCCCCUCUCUCUGGCUUCCACACCUAGGCCUCUUCAUUCAUUUCCUGCUUCUGAAGGCCUCUGAGGGAUUUAAACCAACUGCAGCCUUUCUUUACAUCUCUGAACAUGGCUUAAGUUGUACAAAGGGGCAGUGAGAGGUCACACUCUGCUGGUGAGCCUGCCGCUGUGCUAAAAUUGCCUAGAAGUAAGAUGAUCACAUUCUUCGUUGUCUGUUCGGUCUCCAACUUGAAACUACUGACAAACAGGUAAAUACAUGAUGACGAUGGCUGCCACCAUGAACUUUGACAAUUUUAUUCUCUUUCCUUUAGACCAACAGUUGACUUUAUGCUCACCACCAGACAGCCCUCAAGUACUGCCAUUUGAAAAUCAAAGCAGUGUAUGGUCAGUUAUUAGAAACCUGUGAUGAGAAACUCCAGAAGCCAUUAUUAAUUCCCCAGAGACCCCAUUCACUUUAAGCAAUCUAUGAGGAAAUGAUGUUAAAUUCAA